rnacentral:rRNA from 1 species
CCCUUAGAUGUUCUGGGCCGCACGCGCGCUACACUGAUGCAUUCAACGAGUCUAAAACCUGGUCUGAUAGGGCUGGGUAAUCUUUUGAAAGUGCAUCGUGAUUGGGAUAGAUGAUUGCAAUUCUUCAUCUUCAACGAGGAAUGCCUAGUAAACGCAAGUCAUCAGCUUGCAUUGAUUACGUCCCUGCCCUUUGUACACACCGCCCGUCGCUCCUACCGAUUGAAUGGUCCGGUGAAGCGUUUGGACUAUGGUUUUCUGAUGGUCCGCCGUUGGAUUACCGUGGGAAGUUCGUUAAACCUUAUCAUUUAGAGGAAGGAGAAGUCGUAACA